UAGUCUCGCACAGAUGCAUAUCAAUAAGCGGAGGAAAAGAAACUAACAAGGAUUCCCCUAGUAACGGCAAGUGAAGCGGGAAGAGCUCAAAUUUGAAAUCUUAAAGGGUUUCCCUUUACGAAUUGUAGUUUAAAGAAGUGUUUUCUGUUGAGGUUUUGGUAAAAGUUCUUUGGAAUAGGACAUCAUAGAGGGUGAGAAUCCCGUAUUUGACCUUUACUUUCAACUUUGUGAUACACUUUCAAAGAGUCGGAUUGUUUGGGAAUGCAGUCCAAAAUGGGUGGUAAAUUUCAUCUAAAGCUAAAUAUUGGCGAGAGACCGAUAGCGAACAAGUACCGUGAGGGAAAGAUGAAAAGAACUUUGAAAAGAGAGUUAAACAGUACGUGAAAUUGUCAAAAGGGAAGCGUUUGACACCAGUGUUGUUUUUCUGAAAAUCAAUUAAAGAACUGUUUAUGCUAAGCUGUUUAGACUUUAUCAGCUAUCUGUUUAGUUUUGAGCUUUUCUUUAAUGCACUUUUCAGUUAACAAGUCAACAUCCAAUUUCUUUUGCUGUAAAAAAGCUUGAGGAAGGUGGCUUGAGAUUCGUCUUAAGUGUUUAUAGCCUCUUGCCUAUGCAGUCGGAGAGAUUGAGGUCUGCAGCGUAGAUCCUUCGGGGCUAAAUGCAUUUGUGCUAAGUUAUAGCAUUUUAUAGACAACUUGUUGACUAUGAUUUGUCUUGUAGCUUACUCGCUUAUGUUAUUUUACCUACGCUUAGGAUGUUGACAGCAGUAUAGACUGU
rnacentral:rRNA from 1 species